CUGUCUAUACAUAUAUACACUCACAAACACAUAUCUAUAUAUGUAUGUAUGCAUACAUACAUAUGCAGACAUGGCUAUGUGGUUAAGAAGUUUGCUUCCCAACCACCUGUUUCUAGGUUCAAGUCUGCUAUAUGGCACAUUGGGCAAAUUUCUUAUGCAAUCUCAGUAGAGACUUGCAUGCUGCAAGUCUUUUAGCUGAGCUGGAAAAUAUCAAGAUAUUUAAGAGAUGGGUGUUUUCUGUGCACUGCACUGGUUCAUGUGCAUUCCAUUGCAGCAAAGUACAAUGUAUGCACCUAUCCAUCUCUGUCUUAAAACAAUUUUAAUACUCUUUUUUUUUAUCUGCAAUAUAUGUAUAUGUGCAUAUCUUUGUCUCUGAUGAUGACCAGAUAAGUAGCUGUAGUGUUUGUUGGUCCUGGGGUGACUUAUUAGGCCAAUGUUUGUAUAAAAUCCAUGGUUACAGUGAGGGCACGUAAUAGCAGAAGCAGGACCCAGUGGGACUCUUGCCUUCUGUGCAGCCCUCUUCUCUUUAGUUUAUAUGUGCACAUGUGUGUGCAUGUGUGUGUGUGUAUUUACAUAUAUGUAUAUGUAUGAUAUGAUAUGGACAUGUUCUCUGCCCACAAAACUUUAAGUAAUGUGAUGCUGAGCCAAACUAUUGUUAAAUACAUGCAUCCAUAACUGAACUCAACUAAAAUAUGUUGAGUGCUAUUGAUAUGUAAGUGUGUGAGUGUGUGUGUCUUGAGAGAGAAAGAGGGAGAGCUUAUUUAUAUAUGUGUGUGUGUGUGUGUGUGUGUUUUGAGAGAGAAAGAGGAAGAGCUUAUGAGUGUGAUUGAUAGAUAGACAAGUAAAUAUAAUGUCAUGAGUCACUGUCAGUUUCACCAACCGAACUACCUAUUUAUUACAUUAGCUGUUGGCUACCUAUCGUAGGCCAAUGUUCACUGUUCUGUUCAGUUAAACAAAAUGCCUUGGCAAGUAAGGCAGUUGGCAUCAUCCCCACCACACACACCAGAUUGCCUCUCUGGACCUCCACACCAGGUACCAAGUGGUGUGGUACCAAGAGUCCAACAAGCAUAGUCGACAUUGAGGCUGCCUUGCAGUAGCAGCUCACUUGCUAGUUGACACCCAACCAUUCUUUGAUGGUACAGAUAUUCUGCUCAGCCUCAGUAACCUUCAAGCUUUUGGUCUAGGACUCCUCUGCCCUGUCAGUUAUUCAACAUCCUGUUGUAGCAUGUAUGUGACAGAAUUGGACAGAAUUGUGCUACUGUGUGACACAGUGCAUUUGGACCUUUGAAUUGCAGGUACAAUUCUUAUCUGAAGGAUUUCCGUAUAGUUUCCAUCAACUUCAUUUCCACCACGUGGUUUGGUUGACCAAAAGUAUAGGAGAAAGCACCAAAGAUAUCAUACUGUGGGAUUGAACUCAGGACCUUGAGAUUUCAAGCAAAACUUCUUAACCAGUUAGCCAUUUCUGCACUAAUGUAUAUGUGUUUGUAAUCAAACUCAGGAAAGAAUGCAACCUACUGUCUUACAUCGUACAUCCACCCAGUAUUAUCAGAUAACAGUUAUGUCCUGUUGUUUAUGACAACAAAGGGAUGUCAAAACUGCUGUAUUGAAGACAACAGUUAUUUAUUACCCAAGUGUUGCUGUAGACAGCUGCUGUGUCUGGCAUUCUUGUGUUUUAAGUAUGGCGAGUGUCAAACUUGAGACAGCUGAUUUCCUGACACAUAACGUCAUCUUUGGCAGUCUGUAUACACACACACACACAUGGUGUGUGAAUACUCAGCAAUCACCAGCACAUGAAAGACAAAAAUAUAUAAACAAUAAAUAAAUAAAAAAUUCCAUAAACUGCUGAGAAUGACAUCAUGUGUCUGGAAAUCAAUUGGCACAAGUUUGACACUCGCCAUAUUUAAGAUGAAAGAAUGCCAUUGUGUCUUAUUGUAUUGUUAUCAUGGACAACAGUUAUGUCCUAUUGUACUAUUGUCAAAUAACAGUUAUGUCCUACUGUGCUAUUGUCAGGUAGCUGUUAUGUCCUACUAUAUUGUCGUCAGAUGACAGUUAUGUCCUUACUGUCAGAUAACAUUUAUAUGCUACUGUACUGUAUAUAAUAGUUAUGUCCUAUUGUACUGCUGUCAAACAGAUAUACCCUACUGUACUACUGUUAGGUAAUAUUUAUGUCCUAUUGUACUGUAUACAACAGCUAUAUACUGCUAUACUGUCGUCAUAGACAAUAGUCAUGUCCUACUAAACUAUUGUCUGGCAAUAGUUAUGUCUAUUGUAAUAAUGUCAGACAGCAGUUAUAUUCAAUUGUGCUAUUUUCAUAAAAUCCAAACAAAUUUGUUCUGUUAAAUAAGUUUGAUUCUGUGUUGUAUAAAAAAUUCUGAUGUUUAAGACACAGGUUCUUUGAGAACUAUUAUGUCCUGGCGUGAACUCCUCCAUCCUUCUCUAUCUUGAGCAAUUUUAUCUAGUCCAUUCUUUAUUUUGAUUUCCAAGGUUGUUUUUGCUUCCCAAAGAAUUCUUCUUUUCUGAGAUUCUCUAAUUCAAAAAAUUUUCUUCAUAUUUUUUCAUUGUUCAUCUCAAAAUGUAUGACCUGUUGUAUUUCAAACUUGUCUCUCUUAUACGACUGAAAUGACCUUGAAACCACAAAUAUAAAAGAUUCUUUAAGCUUGACCAAUCAAUCUGAGCCCAAACCUCUCCCCUUUACUUAUGAUGCAGAUUUAGGUUGUGUAACUCACCCUACCAGGUCUCCAGGUCUUAGUUCUUAUCCGGCAGAACUAGGUUGGUUUGUGGGUGUGAUAUAUAUCUAAAAGUAAGUAUCUGAUAUGGGUUAUUGAAAAUUGAAGAUCUUGUCUAAUUUAGUUGAAGUCUUAACUAAUUGGUUGUAGUUUGGGUUCUGCCAGAUUUUGAGUGCUUUUCUAAAUUUGGCUGUUUCAAAAGCCAUGUAUAUCAUAUGCUGAAAGAGAGAAAGGGAAUGAGAGAGAGAGGGUAAGAGUACGAGAGAGGGGGAAGAUAGAAAGGGUUUGACAAAGAGAAAGAGUAUGACAAAAAGGGAGAGAAACGAAUGUGAGAGAGAGGGGAAGUGCAUGAAAGAUAGAGAGGAAGGGCAUAAGAAAGAAAGAGAGAAUGAGAAUGAAGGUGAGAGUGUUGUUUUGUCGUUAUUUGAUGGAAAGUAGCUGGGCUCCAAACCACAAGGAAAAAAAAAGAAAAAAAAUGUUUCAUUUAUUUAUUUAUCGUUUCAUAUGUAAAGUAAAUCACAUUAUUUAAAUUAAAAAC